GGGGAAUCGGGGGAGCGGGGAGAAAGCUUUUAGAAGGUUACUAGUUCGGUUUUCAUUGGAGGUUUUUUGAAGAUCAAGGGGAUUAGAGAGAGGGGGCUUCAUGCUUUGGGUCGGGGAAGGAAAGACAUAGAAUUUGGAUUUUUUUCUUCGUAGAGUUUUGGGAAGACUGAGGCAAUCGCUGCUGAAGUCAGUAUUGUAAUGGUGAAUCGGGAUUUUUAAUGAAGUGGGUUUGAAUACUCUUGACUGUUUUGUGAAAUCGAGUUACGCCUGUGAUUGAAGGAUUAAAAGGGUGUCUAUAGGAUUGAGUAUGCGGAGUGAAUGAAAUUUAUUGGGUUAAUCUAACAAGACAGUCAGUGGAUACAAGAUCGUAAGUAUAAAGCGGUAUUGAAGAUUAACAGUUUGGG
rnacentral:lncRNA from 1 species